GUGCUAGCUUUAGCAGCACACAUACUAAAAUUGGAACGACACAGAGAAGAUUAGCAUGGCCCCUGGCGCUAAAUUCGUGAAGCGAAUAAAAAAGAUGUUAUGCAUUUUU